GGGAGGGCGAGGGGAGGAGAAAGCGGCGCGCGGGGAGCCCGGCCGCGCUCAGCCGCUCCUCACCUGGGCCGCCGCCGCCGCCGCCGCGCCGUUUCCGUGUUGCUGCUGCUGCUGCUGUUGCUGCUGUAGAUACUCGCCGUGGCCGCCGCCGCCUCCGCCGCCGUCCACGUCCAAGGUAUGCCUGCUGCUCAUGGAGGGAAGAAGUGAGCUUUGGAGCGAGAGUUACAGAUAGUUAUGAGUUGCCACAGGGAUCCUCGAGAUUUGACCAAGAACACCACUCACAAGUUGAUCCUUUUGUUCCAUGAUGUGAGUCGCAGAUAUCAAACUCAGGUGGCCAGGCCUGGCAGCAAGCUCUUCUGGCUGUUCCGCCAUCUCACUGGCCAUGUGGAAAUCUUCUGAAGAUGGACGCACAUGAGCACAAGCUCAGAAAUGAAUAGUUUGAAAGUAGGUUCUUGGAAAUAAAUACAUAAAGACAAUGGAAUGGAGAGAAGCAAAUCUCCUGCAAGCUUGUUUAAUACACACUAACCGUGAAUACACUAGAAGGCCAGAUGAAUACAG
rnacentral:lncRNA from 1 species